rnacentral:lncRNA from 1 species
CGGGAGUCUCGUCUUGGCUGUUUGACCUCUGGUUUGUGUUGUCGGACCAUAAAAGCGCCGAAAUCGCAUGAAAUAAUGCGAUUUCAGGUAUUCAGGAGGGCUUUUAUGCAUUUUGGUUCGUCGUAGCUGUUGUUGGCAGCAAGUGUUGGUUGAGGAUAACCUCUGGACUGAUUGUCCAAGGCCCCAAACCCUUGCGAAGAUCG